UAACACAUGCAAGUCAACGGGAUCCUGGCUUCGGUCAGGUGAGAGUGGCGGACGGGUGAGUAACGCGUGGGAACCUGCCAGUGGUGGGGGAUAACUGCGGGAAACUGCAGCUAUUACCGCAUGAGCCCGAGAGGGAAAGAUUUAUCGCCAUUGGAGGGGCCCGCGUUCGAUUAGGUAGUUGGUGAGGUAACGGCUCACCAAGCCGACGAUCGAUAGCUGGUCUGAGAGGAUGAUCAGCCACACUGGGACUGAGAUACGGCCCAGACUCCUACGGGAGGCAGCAGUGGGGAAUAUUGGACAAUGGGGGCAACCCUGAUCCAGCAAUGCCGCGUGAGUGAUGAAGGCCUUCGGGUUGUAAAGCUCUUUUGGCGGGGACGAUGAUGACGGUACCCGCAGAAUAAGCCCCGGCUAACUUCGUG
rnacentral:rRNA from 1 species